UCAGACAUCAAUGAGGACAGUCAGGUCCUUCAGUCUAUGUUGUUGUGUUCUCAGACAUCAAUGAGGACAGUCAGGUCCUUAUGUCUAUGGUGAUGUGGUCCUUCUGUAGCUCAGUUGGUAGAGCAUGGCGCUUGUAACGCCAGGGUAGUGGGUUCGAUUCCCGGGACCACCCAUACGUAGAAUGUAUGCACACAUGACUGUAAGUCGCUUUGGAUAAAAGCGUCUGCUAAAUGGCAUAUAUUUUUAUAUAUUUUCUCAGACAUCAAUGAGGACAGUCAGGUCCUUGUGACUAUGGUGAUGUGUUCUCAGACAUCAAUGAGGACAGUCAGGUCCUUCGGUCUAUGGUGAUGUGUUCUCAGACAUCAAUGAGGACAGUCAGGUCCUUCGGUCUAUGUUGUUGUGUUCUCAGACAUCAAUGAGGACAGUCAGGUCCUUCGGUCUAUGUUGUUGUGUUCUCAGACAUCAAUGAGGACAGUCAGGUCCUUCGGUCUAUGUUGUUGUGUUCUCAGACAUCAAUGAGGACAGUCAGGUCCUUCGGUCUAUGUUGUUGUGUUCUCAGACAUCAAUGAGGACAGUCAGGUCCUUCGGUCUAUGUUGUUGUGUUCUCAGACAUCAAUGAGGACAGUCAGGUCCUUCGGUCUAUGUUGUUGUGUUCUCAGACAUCAAUGAGGACAGUCAGGUCCUUCGGUCUAUGUUGUUGUGUUUUCAGACAUCAAUGAGGACAGUCAGGUCCUUCGGUCUAUGUUGUUGUGUUCUCAGACAUCAAUGAGGACAGUCAGGUCCUUCGGUCUAUGUUGUUGUGUUCUCAGACAUCAAUGAGGACAGUCAGGUCCUUCGGUCUGUGGUGUUGUGUCUUCAGACAUCAAUGAGGACAGUCAGGGCUGAGAAAGUAAAAUGUUGCGCUUCUUUUCCCGCAUAUUCCUUAUCCUCACCUUCAGCUGAAGCAGCCAAACAGUAGGAUUGCUCAUGUGUUUUGCUAAAGCUCUCACUUUCUCUCUUCCAUCUCUCUUUCUCUUUCUGUCCAUUCCAUAAAAAAAAGACCUCAGGCCAAUAAACUGAGUCUCUAACAACAAAAGAUGGACAGUGAAAUUGCCCUGUCACAUAAAAAUACUCAUUGAGAUAAAU